rnacentral:rRNA from 1 species
CAUUCACGGAGAGUUUGAUCCUGGCUCAGGACGAACGCUGGCGGCGUGCUUAACACAUGCAAGUCGAACGAUGAACCACUUCGGUGGGGAUUAGUGGCGAACGGGUGAGUAACACGUGGGCAAUCUGCCCUGCACUCUGGGACAAGCCCUGGAAACGGGGUCUAAUACCGGAUAC